AGGAUGGNCAUGCGUAUGAUUAGCUAGNUGGUNAGGUAACGGCUUACCAAGGCAACGAUCAUUAGGGGGUCUGAGAGGAUGAUCCCCCCACACUGGCACUGAGAUACGGGCCAGACUCNUACGGGAGGCAGCAGUAGGGAAUAUUGGGCAAUGGGCGAGAGCCUGACCCAGCCACGCCGCGUGAACGAAGAAGGUUUUUGGAUUGUAAAGUUCUUUUCUACGGGAAGAAAAAGGGAGAUGCGUCUCUCAAUUGCCGGUACCGUAGGAAUAAGCACCGGCUAACUACGUGCCAGCAGCCGCGGUAAUACGUAGGGUGCAAGCGUUGUCCGGAUUCACUGGGUUUAAAGGGUACGUAGGCGGUUCGUUAAGUCUGUGGUGAAAGUUUGUGGCUCAACCAUAAAAUUGCCAUGGAUACUGGCGAACUUGAGUAUCGGAGAGGAGAGUGGAAUUCGUAGUGUAGCGGUGAAAUGCAUAGAUACUACGAGGAACACCAAUUGUGAAGACAGCUCUCUGGCCGAUAACUGACGCUGAGGUACGAAAGCGUGGGUAGCGAACAGGAUUAGAUACCCUGGUAGUCCACGCCGUAAACGAUGGACACUCGGUGUAUGCACGUUAGUGCAUGUGCCUGAGCGAAAGCAUUAAGUGUCCCACCUGGGGAGUACGUUCGCAAGAAUGAAACUCAAAGGAAUUGACGGGGGUCCGCACAAGCGGUGGAGUAUGUGGUUUAAUUCGAUGAUACGCGAGGAACCUUACCUGGGCUUAACUCAAGCUGCAUCAUUCAGAGAUGAAUGAGCCUUCGAGGGAGCUUGAGAGGUGCUGCAUGGCCGUCGUCAGCUCGUGCCGUGAGGUGUUGGGUUAAGUCCCGCAACGAGCGCAACCCCUAUCUUUAGUUGCCAGCAAANNGNUGGUGGGGACUCUAGAGAGAC
rnacentral:rRNA from 1 species